rnacentral:rRNA from 1 species
AGCGAACGUUAGCGGCGGGCCUAACACAUGCAAGUCGAGCGAGAAAGUGGCUUCGGCCAUCAGUAAAGCGGCGGACGGGUGAGUAACACGUAGGUAAUCUUCCCUUGAGCGGGGGACAACGUUUCGAAAGGACGCUAAUACCGCAUACGUUUCCAAGGACUCCGGUCCCUGGAAGGAAAGCUAGGUCGCAAGAUCCGGCACUCGAGGAGGAGCCUGCGUCGCAUCAGCUAGUUGGUGGGGUACGCCUACAGGCGAAGACGCGUAGCUGGUCUGAGAGGAUGAUCAGCCACACUGGGACUGAGACACGGCCCAGACUCC